CAGGAUGAACGCUGGCGGCGUGCCUAAUACAUGCAAGUCGAACGAAUCUCUUUUAGAGAUGAGUGGCGAACGGGUGAGUAAUACAUAGGUAACCUGCCCCUGUGCGGGGGAUAACAGGAGGAAACUCCUGCUAAUACCGCAUAGCCAUGAGCACCGCAUGGAGCUCAUGCCAAAUAUCCUUUAUGGGAUAGCGCAGGGAUGGACCUAUGGCGCAUUAGCUGGUUGGCGGGGCAACGGCCCACCAAGGCAACGAUGCGUAGCCGGCCUGAGAGGGCGGACGGCCACAUUGGGACUGAGACACGGCCCAGACUCCUACGGGAGGCAGCAGUAGGGAAUUUUCGGCAAUGGGGGAAACCCUGACCGAGCAACGCCGCGUGAGCGAAGAAGGCCUUCGGGUCGUAAAGCUCUGUUGUAAAGGAAGAACGGCGCAUACAGGAAAUGGUAUGCGAGUGACGGUACUUUACCAGAAAGCCACGGCUAACUACGUGCCAGCAGCCGCGGUAAUACGUAGGUGGCGAGCGUUAUCCGGAAUCAUUGGGCGUAAAGAGGGAGCAGGCGGCCGCAAGGGUCUGUGGUGAAAGACCGAAGCUAAACUUCGGUAAGCCAUGGAAACCGGGCGGCUAGAGUGCGGAAGAGGAUCGUGGAAUUCCAUGUGUAGCGGUGAAAUGCGUAGAUAUAUGGAGGAACACCAGUGGCGAAGGCGACGGUCUGGGCCGCAACUGACGCUCAUUCCCGAAAGCGUGGGGAGCAAAUAGGAUUAGAUACCCUAGUAGUCCACGCCGUAAACGAUGGUCACUAAGUGUCGGGGGUCAAACCCCGGUGCUGCAGUCAACGCAAUAAGUGACCCGCCUGAGUAGUACGUUCGCAAGAAUGAAACUCAAAGGAAUUGACG
rnacentral:rRNA from 1 species